CAGCCUGGGAAAGGGAAAAGGAAGAGAAACACCCAAUGGGAAAGGAUUGCUGGGUAGGUUAGACACAGAGCCAGAAAAUUCCAGAAUAUAGCAGAGUUUUCAGAUCAUAAGAAAAUCAGAUGUCUGUGUGAAGUCACACAACACCCUCAAUGAGACUACAAAAUGUUUGAGUGUCCUGAUAUUACAGAUUCAGGGUAAAAUGCUUUCCUAAGUUUCCAAGUUAUAGUUAGAAAUGUUUUGCUCUGAGUUUUACGCAAAACCAUGUGGGGGAAUUGGACUGGUAAAUUCUUUAAUUCAGAGAAGGUUAAAAGCUUAACAGAUAGAAAAAAAGCUUGCUUUGGGUAGGAAUUGGAGCAUUUGCUCUGGUGUAUAUGUGAAGCUGUCCUGUUUGUGCACAAAGAUGGGCUUUUAAUGAGUUUAUUUCAUUCACUUUUUAUGCAGAGUUGAAGCAAAGAAAAUGGCAUGGAAAGGCCAGCAUGGAAUAUCUGUUCUUCAUCAUAUCUUCCAAAGGUUCAGGAAUGCUGACACUGUUGGGAUUGUUCUUCGUGGGUGUGGAUGAACCUCUCAAUCCUGAGUGAGAAGCAGCACAAAGCCCUGUGAGUACUGAUUUUGCCUGAUGGUGUUACUUUGCACAGUGAACAGCUCCCAUGUGGCACUGCAGAGAAACGUUCUUUAGUGUGAGAUAAUAGAAAUACUCUUUGUUUUGCAUCAAAUGUAUCAGACAAAUACUCAUUAGCAAACUGGACGAGAAAUAACUCAGAAGAUGCAAUUUUUUGUUAAAUUCUUAAAUGCUUUUGUGGUAUUAAAUGAUGAAAUAGCAGCAGAGAGGAAGAACAGUUUCAAUCUUUUUAAGACUCAUUUUUUUCUUAAUCAUGAAGUUGUUGGAUAGUUUCACCUUGAAUUUUCUUACAGGUUUGUAAGGCCAAUCUUGAAGAAAUAAACUUUAUGCGAAGUUUCAGUCCAAGAGCCAGACUGCCUUAAACUCACCUGAAAGUCUCAGGACGGCCCACUAAAUGAUACCGUUUCUCCUGUUUAUUCUCUUAAACUUAAUCUGCAGUGCCUGAAGGCAGAGUAGGUACAAUAAACCCAUCCAUUCAACCUUCACGAAGUUCCUGGGUACCCUAACACCUCCCCCUUUCAGUUCCCUCUGCCAAAACUGUUUCCCCUUGGCUGGAAGACCAGAUUUGUUAAUCAAAUACUCCAGCGAGGCACGAAGUGGAAGAAAGCAAAACUAUCAAUUAAGUUUGAUUAUAAUCCCCAGAGUUGGUAGUUCAUAGAGAAUUCUCAUAACUACAGGCACUGCAGUACUUUAUAUGUACAGCAAAGGGAAGCCAAGACCUCAUUUCCAUAAAGCAGAUCUUGACACUCUA